rnacentral:lncRNA from 1 species
GCUUGUUUGCUGGCCGGUGCGCCUCGCAGCCAGCCCUGAGCCGGGUGUGACUGCCUCUGGGCCACCCGAUCCCGGCCGUGGGGCGCAGCUUCCAGGCUGGCGGCCCAGACACGCCAACUCCGCUGUGGUUCCUAGCCGAGAAUAAACCCCAUCCUGUUUCUCCUAUUCACAGAAAGUUAGUCAGAAACAGUCUUUUUGGUGUGGGGAGUGAAAAACCCCUACUAGCAGCAUAAAUGGGAGAGAAAGCUCGUGGCCUGUAGAAUCACAGAACACUGGUAUUGAAAGUGAUUUUCUACUAAAGCCCUCGCCGAACGGUGGGACGGCGGAGGGCCGGCGGGUCCGGCAGCCCAGACCAAACGCCAGUCUGAUGCCUGUUUGCAGAGCCUCAGUGAACUGCACUGCCGCCGCCUGCUAUUUUCACACGCUCCCCAGCUGUCCCCCCCACCGCUGCCGCCGCCGCCAGCCCACCGAAGAAAAGGGACACACAUUUCUGGAAGAAUCUGGACCUGACCUAAAGCACAGUGUAGUUAAGCAGCUCUAGCUCCGUGUUCCGGACCCAGCAUCUGGGUGCCCUGACCUUGGACCCCACUGGAGAGAAGGGUCUGUCGGUGGUACAGCUGUCUCUCCAGGAAGCUGAAUCUCCUGGCCCCUGAGUUAGGACAGCCCCUGCUCCCUUCUUCAUCAGUGUUUGCCAGAGCUCCAUGAGACCAG